CCCAGGUGCAGUGGUGCACACCUGUAAUCCCAGCAGCUCAGGAGGCUGAGACAGGAGGAUUUCGAGUUCAAAAGCCAGUCUCAGCAAAAAGUGAGGCUCUAAGCAACUCAGUGAGACCCUGUCUCUA
rnacentral:sRNA from 1 species